rnacentral:misc_RNA from 1 species
CCGAGUUAGGGUACUCUUCGUGCCCGACCUCCAACCCUUUGUCUACCUGACCAGAUGUUGCUUCGGCAGGCCCGCCGCUCCGCGAGGGGUGGCCGCCGGGGGCCCUUACCGGCCCCGGGUCCGCGCCUGUCGAUGGCCCCUUCUAAACAAACUCUUGAUUAAACCGUGUCGUCUGAGUAAAACAAACAAAAUAAAACA